AAAGUCUUCAUUCUCUCUCCCCCAACCUCCCUCAUCUACUUCGUAAACUCUCUUUCUCUCUCUCUCUCCCCAACAAAUCUGCAAGACCGCUAAAAUCACAUACUCCUAUGUCGUCGUCCAAUUCCACCUCGCAAGAUUUCCUCAUGAUCACCUCCAUACCAAAACCGCGACCUCAAGAUCUAGAUCGAUCCAACCAAACACGCCUCCAUCUUCAAGACUAUCAACACCUUGAACCGAUCUUUGUGAUUGUUGAAUUGAAGGAAGACGAUGAAGAAAUUGGUAAGUUUCUCGUUGCAAUUACUUGAUUUGUGCCGCUUGAUACUUGCUAAUGUUGGUAAGAUCUAGGCUUUAAUAACAGGUUUCAUGACUAGAUGGUGAGAAUCUGAUUGAAAUUUCACAUCUUUAUAUAUAUAUAUAUAUAUAUAUGAGAGAGAAGACGACGUUGCUAAUUGCAUGCUACUGCUCAUAACAUUUUUCAGCAUUUCUAGGCAGUAGCAGCUAGCUUUGCGGUAUGCGUGCAAUAGCAGCUAGCUUCGCACAGUAGCAGCUAGAUUCGCGGUCCGCAGUGGCAACAAGCUUGACGAUCGGCAGUAGCAGCUAGCUUUGGGAUCCGUAGUAGCUUGACGAUCGACAGUAGCAGUAAAUUUCUGGUCGGCGACAGUAGCAGCAGAUUUCUUGUCGGCGGCAGUAGCUAAAAAUAGUAGCAGAAAAUCAUGACAGCAGCGCGCUAGCAUCAGAGUCGGCAGUAGCAGGGCGCUAGUAAUAAGAGAAUUGCUCGGAAAAAAUUGGCAGUAGCAUCUUUUGAUCGGCAGUAGCACAUUUCUGUCGACAGUAGCAGUAGAAUAUGUAUUGAAGGGUAUUCUGAUAAAAUUGUAGUGACAGAUGACAUGUGCACAUUAAAUUGUCCUAAUUUGUUAUUUUGUCCUAAACUGUAUAAGAAAAUAUGUAAAAUAUGUAUUUGUAAAGUGAAAUUUGGUUAGUAACUAAUAUGUAGUUUGCUAUAACUAGA
rnacentral:lncRNA from 1 species